CAGAGACUGCAAGCGUUAUUCGGAUUCACUGGGCGUAAAGGGUGCGCAGGCGGCCGAGUGUGUGAGGCGUGAAAGCCCGGGGCUUAACCCCGGAAUUGCACCUCAAACUACACGGCUAGAGCAUUGGAGAGGGUAGCAGAAUUCAUGGUGUAGCAGUGAAAUGCGUAGAUAUCAUGAGGAAUACCAGAGGCGAAGGCGGCUACCUGGACAAUUGCUGACGCUCAGGCACGAAAGCGUGGGGAGCAAAAGGGAUUAGAUACCCCUGUAGUCCACGCCCUAAACGGUGCACACUAGGUCUUGGCGGAUUCGACCCCCCCAGGGCCCAAGCUAACGCGUUAAGUGUGCCGCCCGAGGACUACGGCCGCAAGGCUA
rnacentral:rRNA from 1 species